rnacentral:rRNA from 1 species
GGGAAUUUUGCGCAAUGGGGGAAACCCUGACGCAGCAACGCCGCGUGGAGGAUGAAAUCCCUUGGGAUGUAAACUCCUUUCGAUCGGGACGAUAAUGACGGUACCGAUAGAAGAAGCCCCGGCUAACUUCGUGCCAGCAGCCGCGGUAAUACGAGGGGGGCAAGCGUUGUUCGGAAUUAUUGGGCGUAAAGGGUGCGUAGGCGGUUUCGCAAGUUCUAUGUGAAAUCUAUGGGCUCAACCCAUAGUCUGCAUGGGAAACUGCGAGGCUUGAGAAUGGGAGAGGUGAGUGGAAUUUCCGGUGUAGCGGUGAAAUGCGUAGAUAUCGGAAGGAACACCUGUGGCGAAGGCGGCGACCUGGUUCAUGACUGACACUGAGGGACGAAAGCUAGGGGAGCGAA